UCUGUUACUCAUCAUUUCUGUUUGGCUGGAGGUGUCUGUUGUUCUUCCUCUCUGUGCUUAAGUUACUGACUUAAAUUCAUGUUCAGACACCUCUGAAUGUCUUAGUUCAGGUUAUCCCAUCUGUACAUUUCUGCCUAAAUAAGGCAGGGCAGCAGCUUGGUCCGUGGAAUGCUCUUAAAUAUAAUGAAUAAUUUGUCAGGCUGGACUGUAUGUCUAAUUCGCUUUCACUCUUCCCUCCUUUGAGCAACUGAGCUGCUGCCAGCAAUCAAUCAGAGCUAGGUAGGAAUAUUGUGGCUUGAUUAUAUAAAUGAAUAUCAGUAUGCUAACUGUACCUUUGUGACCCCCAAAUGUGACAUAUUCACAGAAAAAUACAUGGAUGUUAACAGAGAAGUUCACAACAACUGUAUUUUUUAAGCUGUUGAAAAAAAGAAUGAUAGUUGUAGGUAAUUUUAGUGUCCCAAGUGCAUGUAAUUUAGUAACAAAGCAAAUGAUUCCUCUGAGAUGCUGCCAGCAAUCAGAAAUUCCCAGUUUCUUGCCAAGCAUUAAAAGCUGCAGCCUUCAAGUGCAGCUGCUACUUCUCCUGCUUAUCUAAAUUCAGUUAAGACCGUAGAGUUGACCUCUUUUAUUUUCAGUUUUAGGGAGGCCAAGCGGAAAGGGCAGUACAGUGACUACCCUCUGGGCUCAACUUAUACCAAGAGCAUGAACAGAAGGAGGGAGAAUCCUAAGUAUUUAUUUCAUCUCUGUCUAUGAGACAGAAAAUUCCUGGUGCUGCAUUUCAAUCUCAGCAUAUGACCUGGGAGUCCUAUUUUUUUUGCUUUAUUUUUUUUACUAACAUGAGCUGUAUAGAGCUAGGACUCAACACUGUCUCAUCUCUCAUCCUGGGCUGCUUAAUGUACAUCAGGUCAUCAUAGAAAUUUUGGAUUUAAACCUAUGGUUUAAACCACAGUUUAACUGGCAUCCAGUCUCUCUUCGUGCACAGAAGUUGUAUUGGGUCUGAACAGAAGGUGGGUUAUUUGUGGGAAAUCGGGAUCUCAGCUAUCCAACUUGCUUGAUGCUCUUAGACAAAACUAAGCAACUGAUACUUUCAUAGCAGUAGGAUUGUUUAUAUUAUGGGGUUAAAUUAGUAGAUUAAUAUUUCACCAUUUUUUGGCAGUUUAGAAUAUUGAAGCAAAGUAAUUUGGAGACUCCUUCUUGUAUUCCAAAUGCUAGCACAGGGCUUAGAAUUUGAAUCAGUCUCACGUGAGCACUGUAUAAAGAGACAAUACUAGAAAAACCCCAUUUCUGCCUGUGAUUCCUCUGUCUCUACAUCCAACAACAGUUACAAGAUCCACCUGUUUAUUCCCCAGAGUCCUGGUUUUUGAGCUGAAAUUUAAACAAGCAUUUUCCACACUCCAAGGCAGAACGUAUCCCUAACGGCAAGGUUGGUCUGAGAUGCAGAAGACAGACUUGCCAGCCAGCCAGUGUUGUCAGGCAGGAUGCUGUGGUAAGAAGGAAUGCAGUUCCUCUGUGAAAACAUAAAAGUGAGAGACAUGCAAUUUAAAUUCAAAGAACACAGAAAAAUAAGGAAAGCAGAGCCUGCCUGGACACCAUGAGACUCUCAGGAAUGGAUGGACUAAGGGCACCUGUGGCUCCUUCAGGUCCAUGCAUGCAAUGAGAAGGGUGAGGAAAAGCACUUCUAAAACUAAAGAGCGUGACUUGAACUCUUGAAAGUACAGACUCUUUGUUCAGUUUUUCUGACUACAACAUAAUCACCAUAGAUUAAUUUUAAACACCCAAAAGAAAAUUGUCUUUUAAAAGAGUAGCUCAAUUUCUUAAUGUAUUGGAUUCUACCAUAUUGCCUCCAAAAUCCAUUUAGAAAGCAAUUUGCUACUAUUAUUCCAUAGUAAUUAGAGUGUUAUCUAAUAACAACCAGUACGUUAUUUGGUGCUCAGAUGAUGUUAAUGUUGUGCCUAUGUAAGCUAGAGUGCAGAUCCUGCCCGAACCUACGUUCCAAGAUGACAACCUUCUCAGUUCACGUCAAAGAUCGUUUUGAAUCAGAAUAGCUUUUUCCCCAACUGUCAAACUAUUUUUAGUCAGUGACUGAAGAACAGCAGUUCUUAGUCUUCUAACCCCAGUGAGAGGGAUCAUGAAAAAGAGGUUUAAGGCCAAAAGUAAACUCAGACAAUGGUCAUGCCUUCUUAAAAUAAGGGCAGAGACACCUGCAUAUCCCGAUAUUAUCAGAUUGCCACAUCAAAGAACAGUUUAUCCACUAAAUCGCACAAAUAAUGCAGGAGGAGAUGACCAAUGACAGAAGGCGGUAACAGUGAUACUUUAGAAUUUCAUUCAGCAUUAGCCCUGCAAACACUCACUAAAUCAUUGAAACAUAGAUUGUGGUCAUUGCCUACGGUCCUUGGUAGUAGUCUGCUAUCGUUAAAAUUACUCGUAACUUUGCUGUUGAUUUCUGUUGGAUUGAGGCUGAGACAUAACUCCUGCCAGAUGAAAUCACACAUAGGAAUUUAAACCAGGGCAACUAAUUUCUAGAUGAUCUCAGGUCUCCCCAAAGGUAGUCCUCCCUGCUUUCUUUAUGGGACUUCAAACAUUCAGUGCUCCGGAGAUUUAAAAUAGCAUGUUGGUCCUCUGUAAGCUCUUUGCAAUGCGGAACACUAAGUGGCCUUGAGCCGCAGCCAGAAAGUUUACCUUUCAGCAGGGUCUUAUGCUGCAGGGAGCCUUGCCAAAGCCACAUUAUUUAGCAAUAGCUUCGCGCUGCUUACUCCUCAUUCGAAUGCCUGUGUCUGACAUUUGAUGUGGGUGGCUGUAAUAAGCUGACUCCACCGUCUUCCCUGUCUAUUUUACUCUCAAGUAUUCUCAGCAAUAGUGGAGUAAACCAUGCUGCCAAAGGGAGUUACACUGACACUUCCCAAGAGAAGUGCCAUAGCAAAAUAUGACAGGGAGAGGAAAGCGAAGACAGGGAAGAUGUUAGACAAGGCUUAGGAUUUACCAGCAAGGCAAAGCAGCGAGUGAACAAUGUACACAACUCAGCUACACUGUAUGAGAUUUACUCUGGGUCAAAACAAUGGAAGCAGCUGAAAGCCUAUGCAGAAGAAAAAGCAUAGAAGAAACAAGGUAAAAAGAAUGCCUCUUUUUUAUACUCAGUAAUGUGAGAAAUGUACAAUUUUUUGUUUGUUUGAAUGGGAUGCCAAACUGUAUCCAGCUGACUUGACUAGGAAAUGCCAAAGUAGAUGGUGUUACUCCAGGUGGGUGACAGACAAAAAUAAGCUGAAGUCAUCAGCUAGCUGUUUGUUUGCUACAGUUCAGCUGUAGCAUUAAGGUUUGUAAACAGUUUUUUAAAAGCAAACUAUUCUAGCACCAAGUAAGAAAUUAACUGGAGGUAUUUUUGAGUUUUCUUGUAUUCAAAACAGCAGCUACAGUUAUGCAUCCUAAUAAAGGAGGGUAUUUGGGAAACAUUAAAUACAGGUAAAUACUAUUUUACAAUGGUGGCAAGUCAUUUACAAUCUAAAUGCAUAUAGCUUUCCACAUGAGAUCUACAGUAAAGAAAUCCGUAACCUCACAAAUAAUUAAAUAAAGAAUAAAAAAAAUUCAUCCAUCAAAAUUUUGAGGGAUAUGCAAGAAUAUUCUUGCUAGGUCUCUUGUCUCUUUCAGUAAUGCUAAAUAUUAAACUGGUCUUAUUUCAUUUCCUUUCUCUUUUCUACACUGCUUGUGGAGAUGGUUUGGAAAGAAUCCAGCAAUAAGAUGUUCCUGUUCUGACUGGUGGUUGGGUUUUUUUCCUGCUGCUGUCACAGAGGUUGUUCUGUUUUAUUUGUUUAAUUUGGUUGUGGAUGUCAUUAUUGCUUACUAUAAAAUGGGCUUUUUCAUGCUUCUGGUAUACCUCUUUCUUUGCUAUUCUUCACAUCUUUUUUCUUUUGUAAGGAACUGAGCUGCUGCCCACAGACUUAAUCCUACUGUUACAAAUCCCCAAAGGAUCUCUAUUUUAGGGAACUCUUAUUUUAGUUCAGCAUAUCUUACGUAAUGCUUCAGCCCUCCUAUAGAGGGAUUAUUUUUUUAACUGCAAAUUUUCUGUAUGUAUUAAGAAGGUUUAAGAAGAGUAUCACAGUAAAGAGUUUAUGCUGUGGCUGAGACUUACGGUCUACUUCUUGGUGGAAGCCAGGGUAUGUUGCCAGCUGCACUCAGAGAAGAAAUAGGCUUAUACCACCCACAAAGCCAAUUCUAGCACCACAGUUAGCAGAGGGGUAAUGGACAAGGGCUUUAGUAGCCCUGGUCUUCCUCACUGAGGAAGGCUGAUACAAAGUCAAGCCAGAAACAGAGAGCUGCAUCUUGUCAGGGAAUAAGGACCAAAGGCAGAAGACAGGAGCUAGCAUCAACAAGUGGGAGUCUGAGGAGCUGGUCACCUGGAGAGUAGCUGUGGAGCAGGCAUAAAUAUAUUCCUUGUUUCAAGCAGGUAUUUGCAAGGGCAGCCAGGUCUAAGCAACUCCAAAGGCUUGUUCGUUAGGUAGACUUAUGAACAUCAGCUGAGAGGGAUUUGUUCCAAAUGAAUGGAUCUAGUUCAUUUGAUUAAUGAACUGAAAAAGAUCUUGAGGCUGAUCUGUUGACUCAUUAGAGUAAAAUGCUACUUUUUUUUUUCUUUUAGAAAACAGUAAAGGGGACUCAUUAAUUUGGGCGCUGUAAUAAAAGCCACUUAGUUCCUUGAUUUUCGAUACUAAAAUACAAUUUUUAUGGUGGAGCUUGCAUACUCUGAGAGUUCUUUGGGAUGUUUUAUUAUUUCAGUAACCCAACUGCAGGCUGCUUCUCUUGAUGUCUUGACCUUAAUAGCACACUACAUCACCAAGUACAUCUGACUACAAAAGACACCUCUCACUGGAUUUGAAGCCAGGCUUGCAGGUUUGCCAUCUGUACAGCUGAGGGUGGUCUCUCCGGGCUCCUUGGUGGGUGCGCAGAUGAGCUUUUAUCACAGAACCUAGCAAAUGUGAUGGAUACAGACAUGUCAGACUCCCUAGGCAGGAUGUUGCAAUUCAUCGCUUGACUUCAUCUUGAUCGCUUCUCCUGGCAACUCCAUACGGUGGGUUUGCCUCUCACUGUUGGUCUUUCAUCUACCUUAUUACUCCCAGGUGGUCAGGCGGAUUCAUGAUCUUCCUCACUAAAGAGGACGUCACAGCAGUUCAAAGGAGAAGCUGGUGGCCCUGCCACCAACUGCAUGCUUCUCAACUGAGACCUGUGUCAACAAACCCUACUAGUAGGAAUUUUUUCCCCCCAAAACCAGCCUGAUGUUGCAGGCCAGAAGCUGUCGCGUAGCCCAUAGGCCAGGUACUUCCCUUCAUCAGGUAACCCAGCUCAGGGGCCGUUUCACAACUGGGUUCAGAUAACUUCAGAAGUCUACUGAUAGCAAUGAAUUCAUUCACACUAACAGAGUGUCAGUUUUAGCAGCAGCAGCAACCAUGCUGUUUUACACAAGCAAAAUGCUACUUUUUUUCUGCUAUCUUAUGAAAACAAGAAAACAGUUGUUUCCUUCUUUACAGUAUAAUAAAAAUGCAUACAUCUUUUGCAGAUUUAAUGUAAGAUCUGGAGCAGUAACUCUAAUUCUAAACUUUCUCUGUAAGCUGAGCAAAAACUGAAUAUUCAAGCAAUCAAUAAAGGAAAUAUGUAUUUGAUACUAUGGGUAGAAAAGAUGGGGCAACCCGCAUGUGUAUGUUUCUUAAAUUUCUGUCUCACAAAACUGCUGGAGUUUUGCAUAUAGUAUCAUUAUUUGGUUUCUGCAGGCCCCUGUUUCCUCUCCUGUUUUUUUAAAUGUGGAAACUGGAAAGGAAAAAAGGCAUGAAACAUACAAAUUGUUCAGGGAGGUUUAGUUAAUUAAUCGAGCCACUAAGAGUGUUCCUGGUCUGGGCAACAGUCAGUACCAAGUAUUGCUGGCUUACUCUGACAUACUAAUGGAUGAGAAUGUUGUUUUACUGAGAGCACUCUAAAAAAAUUUUUCUAUAUACAUUUUCUGAUUAGGGGACAUGAGCUGCUCUUUGUUUAAUAACAAAAAGAAUUGGCUAAAUCAUACUUUUAAUAUUAUCUUUUAAUAAAUACUUUUAUCAAAUGCAUAGACAAUAUAUUUAUUCAUUUUAACCUUUAUGCAUUUUCAAAUGUGCAAACUAAGCUUGGUCAGAAAAACUGUGGAACAGGUUUCUAAAGGUGCCUUUGCUUUUUCUUUUUGUAAAGAUUUGUUAUUUUAAUAGUUUAGACUGGUGCACCAUGAAAAAUAGUGUCAGGUUUUUAAUUUGCAAACAGCCAUAAUUUUUACCAGUGAUGUAUAGCUUAUAUUGAUAUGAUUCACACACGCUCCAUUUUCUGUUCAGGGGACUGAAAAAAACCACCCACUGCACCAAAGCCACAACCUACAUAUUUUCCUCAGUCAUUUAAAAAAGGAACAUAGCAUGCUGGAACUGCCUUUUUGCUUGACAGCCAGCAGCAUGCCAAUUUAGAGCUCACAGCAAAAUAUAAAACUGAAAACUGUAAAAGAAGAAAGCAGCAGGUAUAUGUACCUGUCUUUAUGUACAAGGUAGGAGAUGAUAGAUCUUUCUAAGAAUACUUCUCCAAAAACUCUAACAAAUUCAAAGAUGCUAGAGGGACCCCCCCCCCCCCCCCGAGUAAUACGUAAUUACAGAAGUACAUAACGGAUAUUGUAUUGCCCAUUUGACUUCUACUGGUGGGUUUCCCCCAUCUAUUUUCUUCUGAAUGGUAUUCCCCUAUAGUCACAAGCAGAAUUGAUCACCCAAGGGUUUCAAAUCGUACUCCUGAAAACUUUGGAGCAAUUUUCAAGUAGUGCACUGUAAUUAGUUUAGCAAAGAAGAUAACAACUGCUGGCAAGCACCAAGAUGCAUUAAAUAAGGUAAACCCAAUCAAAAUAUUUUUUCAUGUUGCUCGAUCAGUUCUUUUCGUAUCAAAACCUCAGCUGCUAGCAUCCUUUACCAGAAAGUACCAAGUGCAGAAAUAUUUCAGACCUACAAAAUAUGAUCUCUUGUAUUACACUGGAUGUCUUUGUUGUGUAUGUUCAUUAACUUUUUAAAGGACAGUAAAGUUGCUUCAGCUAAAAAUGAGUGAAAAAUUAAUCCAAAUGAAACUGUAUGUAAGAAAAAGUUCUUACCUGUAAAUUUACAUUAAAAAAGACUGAACAUUCCAAACAACCCUGAACUCUCCACCUCCUCAUCAUAAACAGUAAUAAUAAAAUAGAGCAAAGUCUUUUAGAAGGGAAUAAUGUGUAUGUCCCUCAGGAAUCACGGUCCAGUUUCCUACACGAAGCUGUAUGCAAUGAACACUGACGCAUUUUAUCACUCUGUAUGCAUGUAACUCCUUCACAGUCUUCCAGGUAAAAAAGUUUCGCAUUGCAAAGAUCCUUAACUCUCCUGAGUUGAGGAAGUCAGAAUCGCAAAAUACCAUGUGCUGCUGCUGCUUCACUGUGUGCUUUGUAAUGCUUUCAAAGUCUGAGCCUGGGGAAAAAAUAGUUAAAGAAUUAUAAGCGCUUUGGGCAAAAGUAUAUUAAGCUGCAAUAUUUUCUUUGGUUUUGAUAUCUACUAAUUCAUUUUUUGCUGCUGUUUGUGUGAUUAUUUUUUUAAAUCCAUAUUGGGAUACAUGCUCUUAUUUGUAAUGACAAAGUUGAAUAGUUGUACCUUACACUUAGAAAAGGACAUGGGUAACUUACAGUAGCAAGUUAACCCUGCUGAACUCGUUCCAGGUUGAAUCAGCAUCCCAGAGAUGUAUUCUUACAAAACUAUAAGUUAUUCUUAUACCACAGAAUUGCAUUACAGUAAAAGUAGUGCUCACUGAUCUUCUUCAUUCACGUUUACAUGAUUUUGGGGUUCACCUUGGUACCUUGGGGUUGAGAAUUGGAAUUUCAAUUUUGUUUUCAGCUAGGAGGCUGAAUCUCACCUCUCCCAUAGGCAUAGGAGCUAUACAGCCUUCCCCCUGGAAAUAACGGCAACAGGAGAACUAGAUUUCUAAGUGAAAUAGUCUGAGCUAUUAACAGAUCAGGUACAGGACAACAGGCACUGCUUUGGGUUUUUACUGUAGACUUCAGUGAUAGCUGUCUGCCUACUUUGCAGAUGGAAGUUUGAAAACACAAGCUUUAGGUGUUUUGGGAGUAAUACAAAGAUCUUGGAUUUACAUGUCUAAAUUCUGCCUAAGCCCCACUAAAAAAAACCCCAAACCUUAAAAAGUAACACGAUUGUUUCAAUAUCUUCAACAAAAGUAAACAGCUGCUCCAUUUUUUUUCUGGAUAGAUACAUCUAUCUUGCUUGAUCUUAAUAUACAGUGACUUUUUUCCGAAUAUGUUGACAUGGUUCUUUCAAACUAACUUCAGAAAUUCAACAGAAUCCCGUGGACAUUCUUCUUAGCAUCUGUAAUUUCAGUAUUUUUGUAAUUUGUGCUUAUAUAUUUAUUAUUUGCCAAUACUGAAAAGCAAGAUGCUACCUGUAAAGAUGUUGCAAAGGGCAACUGUCCUAAGAUGGAAAAUAUAGCAUUGUCAAUGGAUAUGAAUGAUCAUGUAUGGCCCAAAGCUCUAAAUUAAAGUAAUUAUGGCUAACAUACUAUACUCAAAUGCCAGUGCAAAAUAGUGGAAGCAGCUGUGUGCAAAAAAAAAGUAAACACUGCAUUGUUGUUUUAUCUAAUGUACUUAAUAGUUUAUGUAAAUCUGUUGCUCAGAAAUGUUACAUACUUUGAGCAAAUGAGACUAAUUUUUUUUUUAUUUACACAUACCUAUUAGAAUAUGGAACUGAAUAUACAAAUCCCAAAGGGGUCUGCUGUUUUGAGGGAUCUGUUGGUUUAAAAAUGGAUCAUCUCAGAAAAAAAAAAACAGUUCAGCGCUUCCACAGUCUUUAGAAAGCAAACUUCAGGACCUUAUGCUCAAGCCUUUUUGUCUUUUGAACUUGGUAGUACUUGGAAAAAAAAAAAAUUGUUUAAUCUACAGUAUUCUAGACAUAUUCGUAUAAAUUCUUAUGGCACUUUCAUUAUACCUGUUUCUUUUUCCUUUAAAGUUAAAUUAUUUAGUGUUGUUGCAUGCUCUUUGACAGCUACUGCACUCAGUCCCUAAAACCCUGGUUUUUAUUUGUAAGCUAAAACUAUUCUUUGUAUUUCUGCAACCUGGAAGGCAAUGACUAAUACACAACUCGUUUGUCACACUUGAUCUUAUGAAGUGUGUCAUGGAACUUUCAAUUAUUUCCAGAUACUAUGUAAGUGGUAUACCUACUAUAUAUCAACACUAAACCCAAAAAUACUCCUUUCCAAGAAAAUAAAUUUCACAUAUGCUUGCAAUAUAUUGUUAACAAGAGGCAGAGAGAAACCUCAUUUUUAGAAGUAGUUUACAUAGAGGCUGAACUGAUGAAUAUUCCCUUGAAUCACCUUUAUCAAUUCAACUGCAGCAUAUAACUAAUUUGAAGAUUAUGAACUUUUUCCAGUUGUUCUUGGGGGGGGGGGGGGGGGGCAUUGGGCAGAGAGAGUGGACUUUUCUGUUGAAUUUAUUUAUUCAGCUGAUGACAUUCAGAAUACUUUAUUUCAGUUAAUGCAAACACAAAGUUUUAUCAGGAAAAUCACUACUUUGGGUAUUUAGUUUCGGUCUUUUUGUGAUGCAGAGAAAAAAAUUUUAGUCAUAUGAUUGACACAAGCCCCAUCUGUAAGCAGAUAAAUACCAAAUGAAAAAGAUUGCACUUGUUUUUUCAAGUUCACGUGGCAAGCAUUACUGUAAUGCAGCCUGAAAUAUGACAACAUGGCAUGGUUUUCAUCUAAUAAUUCUUGUGAAAGGAAAUACAAUUUUCUGUUUAGGAACUUUCUGUUACAAGGAAACAGUUCCAACUAGAGCAAGCAUAGAAUUUGCAAAUUUCAUUUCACAACUCAGGUACAGUUCAUGUAUUUUGCAGUGUCACUUUGUUCAUCAUGAAGAUGAUGAAUACCAUCAUGAAGACUUAGGUCUAGGUUGCAACUUCACCUACAUUUAAAGCUCUAUGGAAUUAUUCUGCUCUGUAUUUCUCUGAAGGGUUAUGAAAUGGUCAGCCAACACAACUCUCCCAUGAACCUGCUGAGAGAAUGGCAAAUGUAGGUAACUAACAAACAAAAAAAGAACCUCAUCUUAAAAGACAGGCGACUGUAAUGAUUCUUAAAUGCUACUCAAUCUAUGUUAUUUUAAUUACAAGAACAUAGGAAACAGCUGGGUAUAUUUCAAGUGGACUAGCUCUUUGAACAGGAGUAGUUCUGAAAUGGCCAAUGUGAAACAAGAAUGGAUUUUGAGACAAACCUGUCGGUCAAACAGUUGUUCAAACAAAGAGAUUUUUCAAAGGAGGUGUCAUUGUGAAGGGCAAUCCAACACAGAUUUAAUCCACAAGAAGAGCAGUGAUGCAGAAAAGAGUAAGGUAAUGCUUUUUUUUUUUCUUUUUUCAAACAUUUAUGAUGAUACUUUGUUGUGCCUCAAGGACAAAAGAAACAGAAAAAACUUGUUUACAAAAAAGUCCAUCGGUUUUAUGUGACUUCAAAGUUUCAUGAUGUUGCAAAUUACUUAUCAUUGCCAUUUUAACCUUUUAUAGGUUUUACUACCUGACCUCCACCUUUAAAAUGUUCUCCCUAUACUGUUUCAUACUCUAAAUACGUGGAUUAUUUUUUU